rnacentral:rRNA from 1 species
UGGGGAAUAUUGCGCAAUGGGCGAAAGCCUGACGCAGCAACACCGCGUGAGGGAUGACGGCCUUCGGGUUGUAAACCUCUUUCAGCUCCGACGAAGCGAAAGUGACGGUAGGAGCAGAAGAAGCACCGGCUAACUACGUGCCAGCAGCCGCGGUAAUACGUAGGGUGCAAGCGUUGUCCGGAAUUAUUGGGCGUAAAGAGCUCGUAGGCGGUCCGUUGCGUCUGCCGUGAAAACCCGGAGCUCAACUCCGGGCCUGCGGUGGAUACGGGCGGACUAGAGUCCGGUAGGGGAGACUGGAAUUCCUGGUGUAGCGGUGGAAUGCGCAGAUAUCAGGAGGAACACCGGUGGCGAAGGCGGGUCUCUGGGCCGGAACUGACGCUGAGGAGCGAAAGCGUGGGGAGCGAACA